AACGAACGCUGGCGGCAUGCCUAACACAUGCAAGUCGAACGAGACCUUCGGGUCUAGUGGCGCACGGGUGCGUAACGCGUGGGAAUUUGCCUCGGGGUACGGAAUAACUCAGGGAAACUUGAGCUAAUACCGUAUGAUGUCUUCGGACCAAAGAUUUAUCGCCCUGAGAUAAGCCCGCGUAGGAUUAGCUAGUUGGUGAGGUAAGAGCUCACCAAGGCGACGAUCCUUAGCUGGUCUGAGAGGAUGAUCAGCCACACUGGGACUGAGACACGGCCCAGACUCCUACGGGAGGCAGCAGUGGGGAAUAUUGGACAAUGGGCGAAAGCCUGAUCCAGCAAUGCCGCGUGAGUGA
rnacentral:rRNA from 1 species